AGGCGCGUAGCUCAGGGGGAGAGCGCUACCUUGACACGGUAGAGGUCGUUGGUUCAAAUCCAAUCGCGCCUA
rnacentral:tRNA from 1 species